UGUAAGCGUAUACCAAAGUUGUUGCAGUUAAAACGCUCGUAGUCGGAACUUGGCCGUUCCGGAUGUGUGCACGUCGUGUGCGCACUUUGCAGGGAUGGCUUUUGUGGUCUUGCGUAGGAUGAGGCACUUUUAUUAGUGAACGUCCUCACGCAACCACUCUUUACUGUGAGAAAAUCAGAGUGCUCAAAGCAGGCAUUUGCCGUGAAUGUAUUAGCAUGGAAUAAUAGAAUAGGACUCGGUUCUAUUUUGUUGGUUUGUUGGGACUGAGUAAUGAUUAAGAGGGACAGUUGGGGGCAUUUGUAUUUCGGCGCUAGAGGUGAAAUUCUUAGAUUGCCGAAAGACAAACUGCUGCGAAAGCGUCUGCCAAGGAUGUUUUCAUUGA
rnacentral:rRNA from 1 species